rnacentral:misc_RNA from 1 species
GUGAAUCAUCAAAUUUCUGAACGCAAAUUGCACUCCCUGGUAUUCCGGGGAGUAUGCCUGUUUGAGGGUCGUUAGAACAAAAAUCGCAGCGUCGCUCUUUUUUUUAAGGGUGAUUGCGUCGGAAUUGAGCCGUCUUUCAAAUGUGAAUUCAUGUCAAAGUGGCUUGCAACUCAUCCCUCCGGUACGACUAAAGCGUAUUUAAUAUAA